UGCAGUCGAGCGGUAGAGAGAAGCUUGCUUCUCUUGAGAGCGGCGGACGGGUGAGUAAUGCCUAGGAAUCUGCCUGGUAGUGGGGGAUAACGUUCGGAAACGGACGCUAAUACCGCAUACGUCCUACGGGAGAAAGCAGGGGACCUUCGGGCCUUGCGCUAUCAGAUGAGCCUAGGUCGGAUUAGCUAGUUGGUGAGGUAAUGGCUCACCAAGGCGACGAUCCGUAACUGGUCUGAGAGGAUGAUCAGUCACACUGGAACUGAGACACGGUCCAGACUCCUACGGGAGGCAGCAGUGGGGAAUAUUGGACAAUGGGCGAAAGCCUGAUCCAGCCAUGCCGCGUGUGUGAAGAAGGUCUUCGGAUUGUAAAGCACUUUAAGUUGGGAGGAAGGGCAUUAACCUAAUACGUUAGUGUUUUGACGUUACCGACAGAAUAAGCACCGGCUAACUCUGUGCCAGCAGCCGCGGUAAUACAGAGGGUGCAAGCGUUAAUCGGAAUUACUGGGCGUAAAGCGCGCGUAGGUGGUUUGUUAAGUUGGAUGUGAAAUCCCCGGGCUCAACCUGGGAACUGCAUUCAAAACUGACUGACUAGAGUAUGGUAGAGGGUGGUGGAAUUUCCUGUGUAGCGGUGAAAUGCGUAGAUAUAGGAAGGAACACCAGUGGCGAAGGCGACCACCUGGACUAAUACUGACACUGAGGUGCGAAAGCGUGGGGAGCAAACAGGAUUAGAUACCCUGGUAGUCCACGCCGUAAACGAUGUCAACUAGCCGUUGGAAGCCUUGAGCUUUUAGUGGCGCAGCUAACGCAUUAAGUUGACCGCCUGGGGAGUACGGCCGCAAGGUUAAAACUCAAAUGAAUUG
rnacentral:rRNA from 1 species